rfam:Picea glauca, whole genome shotgun sequence.
AUGUACAUUCUUACAACAUAGUGUCAAUGCAUUAGAUCCCAUUAGAACUUUGCAGUUAAGCGCACUCAGGCUAAAAUAGUAUAGGGAUGGAUGACCCCCCAAGAAGUCCUUGUGUUUUACAUG